UGACAUGCUGUUUUGUUUUGU
rnacentral:piRNA from 1 species